rnacentral:rRNA from 1 species
CGAACGGCUCAUUAUAACAGCCAUUGUUCGCAAGAACUGAUGUCCACUUGGAUAACUGUGGAAAUUCUAGAGCUAAUACAUGCCUCGAAGCUUCGGCGCUAAUCGCGUCGGAGCGCAUUUAUUAGUACAAAACCAAUCGGGCGUUGGCUCUUAGCCUUCGUCCGCCAAAGGUUGGUGAAUCGGAAUAACUAUGCUGAUCGCACGGUCCAGCACCGGCGACGAAUCUUUGAAAUGACUUGCUCAUCAACUUUCGAUGGUACGCUACGUGCUUACCAUGGUGACAACGGUUAACGGAGAAUCAGGGUUCGACUCCGGAGAGGGAGCCUGAGAAACGGCUACCACAUCCAAGGAAGGCAGCAGGCACGCAAAUUACCCACUCCCGGAUCGGGGAGGUAGUGACGAAAAAUAACGGAACGUAUCUCCAUGAGACGCGUUACCGGAACGACCGAGCCGUACAUAAGCUCGGCUAAAUCUAUUGGAGGGCAAGUCUGGUGCCAGCAGCCGCGGUAAUUCCAGCUCCAAUAGCGUAUAUUAAAGUUGCUGCGGUUAAACCGCUCGUAGUUGGAUUGCGGUCGACGACGACGGUCGUCCUAGCAGGAGUCGUUCCGUCGCUCGUCACCUGUUUGAUCAAGAUCGUCCUGGAUGCUCUUCGGUGAGUGUCCUUGGCGACUUGAACGUUUACUUUGAGAAAAUNGGAGCGCUCAAGGCAGGCCGUAGAGCUUGAACAGUG